rnacentral:misc_RNA from 1 species
GAUGAAGAACGUAGUGAAACGCGAUAUGUAAUGUGAAUUGCAGAAUUCAGUGAAUCAUCGAAUCUUUGAACGCACAUGGUGCCUUCCAGUAUCCUGGGAGGCAUGCCUGUCCGAGCGUCGUUUCAACCCUCGAGCCCCCGUGGCCCGGCGUUGGGGAUCUGCCACGGCAGGCCCCUAAAACCAGUGGCGGACCCGAAGGCCCUCUCCUUUGCGCAGUAGCAUCAGCCUCGCAUUGGGAUCCCUCGGCGUCCUGCCUCUAAACCCCCCACAAGUCCGCUCCGGCGGCACCAAGGUUGACCUCGGAUCAGGUAGGAAUACCCGCUGAACUUAAGCAUAUCAAUAAGCGGAGGA